UAGGGAAUCUUCCGCAAUGGACGCAAGUCUGACGGAGCAACGCCGCGUGAGUGAAGAAGGAUUUCGGUUCGUAAAACUCUGUUGUUAGAGAAGAACAGCGCAUAGAGUAACUGUUAUGCGUGUGACGGUACCUAAUCAGAAAGCCACGGCUAACUACGUGCCAGCAGCCGCGGUAAUACGUAGGUGGCAAGCGUUAUCCGGAAUUAUUGGGCGUAAAGCGCGCGUAGGCGGUUUUUUAAGUCUGAUGUGAAAGCCCCCGGCUCAACCGGGGGGGGUCAUUGGAAACUGGUUGACUUGAGUGCAGAAGAGGAGAGUGGAAUUCCAUGUGUAACGGUGAAAUGCGUAGAUAUAUGGAGGAACACCAGUGGCGAAGGCGACUCUCUGGUCUGUAACUGACGCUGAGGCUAGAAAGCGUGGGGAGCGAACAGG
rnacentral:rRNA from 1 species